rnacentral:rRNA from 1 species
CAAUAGCGUAUAUUAAAGCUGUUGCAGUUAAAAAGCUCGUAGUCGGAUUUCGGGCGACGGCCAAUGGUUCGGUUCCGUGCCGAUACUGCUGGUCGCGGCCUCCACGCCGGUCGUCUUUCGGUGCUCUUAACUGAGUGCCUUAAGUAGCCGGAGCGUUUACUUUGAAAAAAUUAGAGUGUUCAAGGCAGGCUUCGAGCCUGAAUGAUGGUGCAUGGAAUAAUGGAAUAGGACCUCGGUUCUAUUUUGUUGGUCUUCGGAACUGGAGGUAAUGAUUAAUAGGGACGGACGGGGGCAUUCGUAUUGCGGCGUUAGAGGUGAAAUUCUUGGAUCGUCGCAAGACGGACUACUGCGAAAGCAUUUGCCAAGAAUGUUUUCAUUGAUCAAGAGCGAAAGUCAGAGGAUCGAAGACGAUCAGAUACCGUCCUAGUUCUGACCAUAAACGAUGCCAACUAGCGAUCCGGCUCCGUUGCUUUAUAAGACUGGCCGGGCAGCUCCCGGGAAACCAAAGUUUAUGGGUUCCGGGGGAAGUAUGGUUGCAAAGCUGAAACUUAAAGGAAUUGACGGAAGG